rnacentral:rRNA from 1 species
CCAGACUCCUACGGGAGGCAGCAGUGGGGAAUAUUGCACAAUGGGGGAAACCCUGAUGCAGCGACGCCGCGUGAGUGAAGAAGUAUCUCGGUACGUAAAGCUCUAUCAGCAGGGAAGAAAAUGACGGUACCUGACUAAGAAGCCCCGGCUAACUCCGUGCCAGCAGCCGCGGUAAUACGGAGGAUGCGAGCGUUAUCCGGAUUUAUUGGGUUUAAAGGGUGCGCAGGCGGGAGAUCAAGUCAGCGGUAAAAUGUCGGGGCUCAACCCCGGCCGGCCGUUGAAACUGGUUUUCUAGAGUUGGAGAGAAGUAUGCGGAAUUCGUGGUGUAGCGGUGAAAUGCAUAGAUAUCACGAAGAACCCCGAUUGCGAAGGCAGCUUACUAAACUGUGACUGACAUUGAUGCUCGAAAGUGUGGGUAUCAAACAGGAUUAGAUACCCCUGUAA